GCUCUGAGUCUCUUCUGUUCCCUGGGAGCUGUGGGCGCAGAAAGAUUUCUAAACAGAGAAGUUACUCAGGACUGCAGUGUGGACUUCUUCUUCUUCUCUUCCUGGAUUGGUCACAUCUUCCUCACUGAUCUGCUCUUGUGAUUGGACAGUCCUGGAUUCAAGGACGUCUGGGGGGUCCACCCCUGCUUCCUGUCUUCCUGUUUCCUUCCUCAACACAGUGAGCACUUCUUGUCCCUUCACGACCGUCACCUGACUGGCUGGAGGCUUCACCUAUCCGUCACUGAAGAUUCAUAGACUUCGACGCCCACCAUGACCUGCUGACAUCAUUACCCCCUC
rnacentral:lncRNA from 1 species